AGGUACCUUCUUUGAGAUUGGUGUCCAUAUAAGAUGAAUUUUACUCUGGUUUGAAAAAUAAUCUAUGGAAAGUGACCAGGUUAUUUGGGCUUAAUAAAUUAUGGGGGUUUUA